UAAAAAAUUUUGGCGGUAUUUUAAGCUUAUUAGAGGAAUUUGCUCUGUGAUGGACACAACGCCUUAAUCUUACUUAAUUUAGUAAUUUAAAUCAGUUUGUAUACCACUAUAUUAAUUAUAUUGAAUAGUUAUAUUUAAAAUUUUCUAUAAAAAAAUAUAUUAAGUCAAGGUGCAUCUAAUAAUUAUGAAUGAAGUGAAUUACAUUAAUUUUAAUGUAAUUUUUUACAUGAAAAAAUUAAUUAGGAUUUAAUAGUAAAAUACUAAUAUUAUGAGUAUUUGAAUCAAGCUCUAAAAUAUGCACAUAUCGCCCGUCGCUCUCAGAAGUGAGAUAAGUCGUAACAAAGUAAAAAUACUGGAAAGUGUUUUUUAAAAUGAAAUCAUUCGAUGUUUCAUUUACAAUGAAAAUUUUGUUGUUUAACCAUUUUAA
rnacentral:rRNA from 1 species